rnacentral:lncRNA from 1 species
GCCAUCACAUCUAUUAGUGUUGCUUUAUCCUUAUACAAUUGACCUGUCUUCACAUCUAUACUGUUUGAAUCAAUUAUGUAAUUUGUAACUUCUAAUUCUGGAAUAUAAUAUGAAUCACAAAUUCUUGAUUCAACCACUGCAAGAGCUUCUGUAUCCCUUGUUGUACCUUCGAUACAUGUAAUCUCUCCGCAUGUUCCAUCAAAGCUAUG